rnacentral:rRNA from 1 species
AUUGAACGCUGGCGGCAGGCCUAACACAUGCAAGUCGAGCGGAGCGGCGGACGGGUGAGUAAUGCCUAGGAAUCUGCCUGGUAGUGGGGGAUAACGUCCGGAAACGGGCGCUAAUAUCGCAUACUAUCAGAUGAGCCUAGGUCGGAUUAGCUAGUUGGUGGGUUAAAGGCCUACCAAGUCCACGAUCCGUGACUGGUCUGAGAGGAGGAUCAGUCACACUGGAACUGAGACACGGUCCAGACUCCUACGGGAGGCAGCAGUGGGGAAUAGUGGACAAUGGGCGAAAGCCUGAUCCAGCAAUGCCGCGUGUGUGAAGAAGGUCUUCGGAUUGUAAAGCACUUUAAGUUGGGAGGCGUUACCAACAGAAUAAGCACCGGCUAACUUCGUGCCAGCAGCCGCGGUAAUAC